rnacentral:rRNA from 1 species
AUACGUAGGGGGCAAGCGUUAUCCGGAUUUACUGGGUGUAAAGGGAGCGUAGACGGAAGGCCAAGUCUGAUGUGAAAGCCCGCGGCUCAACUGCGGGACUGCAUUGGAAACUGGUCAUCUGGAGUGCAGGAGGGGUAAGCGGAAUUCCUAGUGUAGCGGUGAAAUGCGUAGAGAUUAGGAGGAACACCGGUGGGGAAGGCGGCUUCCUGGGCUGUAACUGGCGUUGAGACUCGAAAGCGUGGGGAGCGAACAGGAUUAGAUACCCUGAUAGCCCACGCCGUAAACGAUGAAUACUAGGUGUCGGGUUUCAAUAGAGAUUCGGUGCCGCAGCAAACGCAAUAAGUAUUCCACCUGGGGGGUACGUUCGCAAGAAGGAAACUCAAAUGAAUUGACGGGG